UCCGGUUGAUCCUGCCAGAGGCCGCUGCUAUCCGGCUGGGACUAAGCCAUGCUAGUCUAGGGGCUUGCACUCCUUUGGGGGUGCAAGCACCGGCGGACGGCUCAGUAACACGUGGACAACCUGCCCUCGGGUGGGGGAUAACCCCGGGAAACUGGGGCUAAUCCCCCAUAGGUGAUGGGUGCUGGAAUGCCCCAUCUCCGAAAGCGCUUAGCGCCCGAGGAUGGGUCUGCGGCGGAUUAGGUAGUUGGUGGGGUAACGGCCCACCAAGCCUAAGAUCCGUACGGGCUGUGGGAGCAGGAGCCCGGAGAUGGACCCUGAGACAAGGGUCCAGGCCCUACGGGGCGCAGCAGGCGCGAAACCUCCGCAAUGCGGGAAACCGCGACGGGGUUAGCCGGAGUGCCCGUGCAUUGCACGGGCUGUCGGGGUGCCUAAACAGCACCCCAUAGCAAGGGCCGGGCAAGGCCGGUGGCAGCCGCCGCGGUAAGACCGGCGGCCCGAGUGGCGGCCACUCUUAUUGGGCCUAAAGCGUCCGUAGCCGGCCCAGUAAGUCCCCCGGGAAAUCUGGUCGCUUAACGAUCAGACUUCCGGGGGAUACUGCUGGGCUAGGGACCGGGAGAGGCCGAGGGUA
rnacentral:rRNA from 1 species